rnacentral:rRNA from 1 species
GAUCCUGGCUCAGGAUGAACGCUGGCGGCGUGCCUAACACAUGCAAGUCGAGCGAUUCUCUUCGGAGAAGAGCGGCGGACGGGUGAGUAACGCGUGGGUAACCUGCCUCAUACACAUGGAUAACAUACCGAAAGGUAUGCUAAUACAGGAUAAUAUAAGAGAUUCACAUGGAUUUCUUAUCAAAGCUCCGGCGGUAUGAGAUGGACCCGCGUCUGAUUAGCUAGUUGGUAAGGUAACGGCUUACCAAGGCGACGAUCAGUAGCCGACCUGAGAGGGUGAUCGGCCACAUUGGAACUGAGACACGGUCCGAACUCCUACGGGAGGCAGCAGUGGGGAAUAUUGCACAAUGGGCGAAAGCCUGAUGCAGCAACGCCGCGUGAGUGAUGAAGGCCUUCGGGUCGUAAAACUCUGUCCUCAAGGAAGAUAAUGACGGUACUUGAGGAGGAAGCCCCGGCUAACUACGUGCCAGCAGCCGC